CCGACUUUCUGUUAUCAUACCCUAUGUUAAUACAUGUGCAGACGUGAAGGCGUGGAUCAGUAGUUUCACAGAACAGCUGGCAUGAAUCACAAUGCUGCAUGGUCCUACAGGAGCAGAGACAAAAUUGUCAAGAAGAAAACAACAACAACAAAAAAGACUACAAGUACUGUGGUGAUCACUGUGAGCACUUCUGCUGAAACCACCCUGGAGGCUGAUGCAUGUUUUUCGUGACUACUCCUGGAGCUAGGAUGCUCGCAGAAAUUGGCAACUGACUAAAGCAGAGGAAAAAAAAAGCUUUGCAGAGGAAGAACCUGUGCCAUUUUUUCAUCUAUACUGACAUGUUCAGUGAUUUCAGUGAUUCCAAAAUAAUAAUAAUCGUGGACAAACAGGAUGCGUUCCUUCUGGUGCUUAGUCAACCACUGUGCUGGGAUGUAUGAGAUCAAAUGGGGCCAAAGCGAAGCAUAAGCUUUGUGUUGUUGUUUGGCCAAGGAUGAGUGUCACGAACAGUUUAGAAGUACCUCAGUGAACAGUUUGCAUUUACUGAAGGCAUCAGCGCAGCUUUUGUUUGCACUUAGGGGUAUGAUUCAGAAGUACUAUGAAAUCCGUAGACUUGUUUGUUUACCACAUUUAAGUAUGAUCUAACUCUGAGAAACAUAGGAGAGAUGAAGAAAAAUGUUUUUAUUAGUUUCUAAACACCUUCAGAAUGUGUGGGGAUUGCUCCAAACGAGAAAAAAUGCACACAAUAAUUGUUGGCAACAGUACAGAAAUGGGAGACUGGAUGACAAUGGCAUCUUUUCUACUCACAGCGUUAAUGUCAGAGUCGUGAGUAAUCAAAAGGGUACAUUAAUUAUCUAAUCUGUUCCCUGUGUUUGUAUUGCUUGAAAUGUAUUUAUAAUGCUUCUACUGCCAUGGGAUUUGUGAACAUUUGCUUUAGGAACUGCUCCUACACAUUCUAUAUGUGCAAGAAGGCCUCACGGGUAUGUAUCGUUCUACAGAUUUCAGCAGCACUGUGGCAGAGGAGCAAGCUUAUGUAUCAUACUGGACAUUUAUCCGAGAUGCUUGAGCUUCUACAGAUUUAUGUUCAUGCACAUAAUGUUCUUCUGCUGCUAAUACACCUCACUUCUUGUCCCUGGUAAGCAGCUUCUACAGUGUUAUCUCAGUUAUGCUGUUACCAGCACCCAACUCCUUCACUAGAAGCAUGGAGAAGGCUCUGGGGAAACCUCGUUACAGCCUUCCAGUACUUGAGCUUAUACGCAGGAGAGGGACUGACUUUUUGCAUGGUCUGAUAGCGAUAGGACAAGGGAGAAUGGUUUUAAAACGAAAAGAGGGGAAACUUAGGUUAGAUAAAAUUCUUUACUCAGAAUGGUGAAGCAUGGGCACAAGCUGCCCAGAGAACCAUCCCUAAUUCAAGGCCAGGUUGGAUGGGAUCCUGGGCAGCUCAAUCCAGUGGAUGGACACCCUGCCCAUGACAGGGGGGUUGGAACUAGACUGUCUUUAAGUUUCCUUCCAACCUAAGCCAUUCUGUGGUUCAUUCAUGUGCUCUGCCAUGAAGCUUGAGUCACAGAAUGGAGCCUGAUAUAGGCAGGAGAUAGAAAAGGAGGAGGCUGCCAUCCUUGAGCCCCAGUCAGUGCCAGGCCCACACUAGCAGCUUCUUGGUAUGGACAUAAGCCUGCAAGUACCACGCUGAACAGCAUGUGACUUGAUUUUAAGAACUACAGGCUUUGAAUUUGUGGAUGGAUGUUUGUGUGUGCUUAGCAUGCAUCACAUACCAUAGGAGCAGUGUGACAAAGAUUAAUGUAAUUAAAACCCCAGCCUUUUGGUAGUGCUGCUGGCUCCACUUCCCCUGUAAGCACCCCGAGCAGCACUCUAAGGAAGCCUGCCAUGCCAAACACUCUGUCGUGCUUCAUCCUCUCCUUGUUCUUUAUAUGGUGCUGCCUCUGACGUCAGUGGAGACCUGACAUAAAGAGAGCAGAGGAAUUGGGCUGAAAUGAUUUUUUUAUAACAAGAUUAAAUAGGAGGAGGCUCUCUGAAGUGUACAGAAAUCUUAUUCCUUCCCACAGCAUAAAUGAAUAUUUUUUAUUUUAUUCUUCAAGGACACUUACCUGCAUAGGAUUUUCUAUGUGUGAUUAUGGGCGAUUGCCAACACGCUUGCCAGAAAGGAUCUGUAAUGAGCAAACAAGGCAUUACCAGUACACUUCUAACAUGCAUUUCCAUUUGCUAUUCCACGUCACACACACUUCUUAAUAACUUCUGUGCAUACAGCUUUGCCUCCUCAUUUCCGUCUUGCAGUUGCUAAAUCCUCUUGAAUAAAGGCAUGCAAAUGUGAGUGAACACACGCUGUGUUCAUCAGGAA